rnacentral:rRNA from 1 species
CCUACGGGAGGCAGCAGUGAGGAAUAUUGGACAAUGGGCGCAAGCCUGAUCCAGCCAUGCCGCGUGCAGGAAGAAGCAUCUAUGGUGUGUAAACUGCUUUUGUACAGGAAGAAACACUCCCUCGUGAGGGAGCUUGACGGUACUGUAAGAAUAAGGACCGGCUAACUCCGUGCCAGCAGCCGCGGUAAUACGGAGGGUCCGAGCGUUAUCCGGAAUCAUUGGGUUUAAAGGGUCCGUAGGCGGUUUAAUAAGUCAGUGGUGAAAUCUGGUCGCUCAACGAUCAAACGGCCAUUGAUACUGUUAGACUUGAAUUAUAAGGAAGUAACUAGAAUAUGUAGUGUAGCGGUGAAAUGCUUAGAUAUUACAUGGAAUACCAAUUGCGAAGGCAGGUUACUACUUAUGGAUUGACGCUGAUGGACGAAAGCGUGGGGAGCGAACAGGAUUAGAUACCCUGGUAGUCCACGCCGUAAACGAUGGAUACUAGCUGUUCGGAGCAAUCUGAGUGGCUAAGCGAAAGUGAUAAGUAUCCCACCUGGGGAUACGUUCGCAAGAAUGAAACUUAAAGAGUAGUACGACGUGAGACGAGCGACGAGACACCGAGGGAGGUUAGGAGG